AAUUUUGGACAAUGGGGGAAACCCUGAUCCAGCCAUGCCGCGUGUAUGAUGAAGGCCUUCGGGUUGUAAAGUACUUUUGGCAGAGAAGAAAAGGUAACUCCUAAUACGAGUUCCUACUGACGGCAACUGCAGACUAAGCACCUGCUAACUCCGUGCCAGCAGCCCCGGUAAUACGUAGGGUGCACGCGUUAAUAGGAAUUACUGGGCGUAAAGCGUGUGUAGGCGGAUCGGAAAGAAAGAUGUGAACUCCCAGGGCUCAACCUUGGAACUGCAUUUUUAACUGCCGAGCUAGAGUAGGUCAGAGGGGGGUAGAAUUCCACGUGUAGCAGUGAAAUGCGUAGAUAUGUGGAGAAAUACCGAUGGCGAAGGCAGCCCCCUGGGAUAAUACUGACGCUCAGACACGAAAGCGUGGGGAGCAAACA
rnacentral:rRNA from 1 species